rnacentral:rRNA from 1 species
GACGAACGCUGGCGGCGUGCUUAACACAUGCAAGUCGAACGGAGGGGCGAACGGGUGAGUAACACGUGGGUGACCUGCCCUGCACUUCGGGGUAAGCCUGGGAAACUGGGGAUACUACCGGAUAGUGUGGGAUUGGCCCGCGGCCUAUCAGCGUGUUGGGGGGGUAAUGGCCUACGCAGGCGGCGACGGGUAGCCGGCCUGAGAGGGUGGACGGCAAGAAGUGGACUGAGACACUGCCCAGAAUCGUACGGUGGGAAACGGUGUGGAAUAUUGCACAAUGGGCGGAAGCCGAUUGUAGGGACGCGGCGUGGGGGAUGACGGCCUUCGUGUUGUAAACGCCUGUCACCAUAGAAGCGGUAGAUGGGGAAUAAGCACCGGCUAACUACGUGCCAGCCGCCGCGGUAAUUC